AAUUACCUAAACUUGAGAUACCUAGUAAAGAAACACUCGUUCAUUGAAAGCGAAGGUUUUUUUGCUGUACCUAUAUAUUUAAUAGUUUUCGCGUGGAUAAAGUACUUUAUUGAAGAGUCUACAGCAAGAAUCAGGAUGAUUGCAGAAACCCCCAUCAUAUUCGGAUCAUAACAAUAAGCUGCAUAUUGUUGAUUUUUUUCAAUAACGUGAAUUUUUCGAUGGCGGCAGAGACGAAAUACGAUAGUUGUGACUAUGGAACAUGUCAAAAUCUAUGUGCACAGCAGUAUCCAGGGUCUAUUGCGUUAUUGCAACAAGCCUCAGCAGUUUGCGAUAUCAAUAACUUCUGUCAAUGUUACAGAAUUAACAGUGAUGGAUCUAUACGUAACUUAAAUUAUAAUAACUAACGAAAUCACCAAAAUCAGAAAGUAAGAAGUUCAACUAUGAAUCUAUUUUGCUGCGUAGAUUAACAUUAUCAGGUACCUACCUACAUUAGGUAUCUACUUAAUUACGUACAUAUUAGCUGAAUUCAUGCACAUGUAAUUUAUUCCUUCGUUAUAGAAUUAAACCGCACUUUGAAAAUUA